rnacentral:rRNA from 1 species
GAUCCUGGCUCAGGACGAACGCUGGCGGCGUGCUUAACACAUGCAAGUCGAACGAAGAGCGAUGGAAGCUUGCUUCUAUCAAUCUUAGUGGCGAACGGGUGAGUAACGCGUAAUAAACCUGCCCUUCAGAGGGGGACAACAGUUGGAAACGACUGCUAAUACCGCAUACGAUUUAAUCUCGGCAUCGAGGAUAGAUGAAAGGUGGCCUCUACAUGUAAGCUAUCACUGAAGGAGGGGA